rnacentral:rRNA from 1 species
UCAAAAACAUGUCCUUUUGUUUAUAAAUAUAAGGUCUGACCUGCCCAAUGAUAUAAGUUGAAUGGCCGCGGUAUAUUAACUGUGCUAAGGUAGCAUAAUCACUUGUCUUUUAAUUAAAGGCUAGAAUGAAUGGUUGGACGAGGUAUUUUCUUUCUUUAGUUUAGUUUAUGAAUUUAAUUUUUUAGUUAAAAAGCUAAAAUUUAUUUGGGGGACGAGAAGACCCUAUAGAUCUUUAUAUUUUAUUUUAUUAUAUAUUUUGGUGUUAUAAAUUGUUUUAAUAAUUUAAUUUAUUUGAUUGGGGUGAUUGUAGAAUUUAAAUUAACUUCUAUUAUUUUUAUUCAUUGAUUAGUGUUUAUUUUGAUCCAGUUUUAUUGAUUAAAAGAUUAAGUUACCUUAGGGAUAACAGCGUAAUUCUUUCGGAGAGCUCGAAUCGAUGAAGGAGUUUGCGACCUCGAUGUUGGAUUAAAAUAAGUUUUAGGUGCAGGAGCUUAAAAACUAGGUCUGUUCGACCUUUAAUAUUUUACAUGAUCUGAGUUCA